CGGGAAUCUUCCGCAAUGGACGAAAGUCUGACGGAGCAACGCCGCGUGAGUGAUGAAGGUUUUCGGAUCGUAAAGCUCUGUUGCCAGGGAAGAAUGUCUUGGAGAGUAACUGCUCUAAGAGUGACGGUACCUGAGAAGAAAGCCCCGGCUAACUACGUGCCAGCAGCCGCGGUAAUACGUAGGGGGCGAGCGUUGUCCGGAAUUAUUGGGCGUAAAGCGCGCGCAGGCGGCUGUUUAAGUCUGGUGUUUAAUCCUGGGGCUCAACCCCGGGUCGCACUGGAAACUGGACGGCUUGAGUGCAGAAGAGGAGAGUGGAAUUCCACGUGUAGCGGUGAAAUGCGUAGAGAUGUGGAGGAACACCAGUGGCGAAGGCGACUCUCUGGGCUGUAACUGACGCUGAGGCGCGAAAGCGUGGGGAGCAAAC
rnacentral:rRNA from 1 species